CACUCCGUGAUCCCUAGCGCCUGCUAUAAACACCACAGCGCCUGGAUCGAGUCUGGUCCCUGGCUCCUUCUACACAGAACAUCACAGCACUUGGAUGAAGUGGUCCCCAGCCCCUGCUACACAUAAUGCAAUGACUGGACUUGAAACCACUUUCUCUUGUAUACUGUAUAUACACACACACACACACACACCGCAGCACCUGGAGGUAGUCAAAAGUAAUGGUCCGAUUCAUAAACAUGCGGUACCCGACAGUCGCAACGCUUUCAAGCUGAGUGUUUGGGCUGGACCUAGAUUCAACAACAGAGUUUGGCCGAGUCGGGCAGCCAUUCCGCUGUUUUUUUGCUACUUGGGUGGGCUAUAAGUAGGCCUAUAGGCAUACAAACUACGAACUGGAAGUUCUUGCAAUGGCAUCCAUCCUCUCCUGGCUAAGACGGAAGCAAUGCGUGUCCUCCAAGACUCUGAGAAGGGAAUUUCCUUUGGACAGCCCCAAAUGAAUCAUCCCAGAUAUCUAAAGGCCAGUGAACCACUGACUGGUUGUCCACUGCUAUUUUGCUCUUUGGUUUUAACCUUAUUGUUUACUGACAUAAUAUGUAGAAAACAUACAAUUUUACAGUGAAAAUAUAAUAUUUUGGUAAAAUGACUGGGAAAAUAGGCUACCAUGUCACAAGCAAGUAAUUAGGCCGUCAAAAUUCAGUCAAAAGUGUGGGCAAUAUUUUGCUACUGUGUAGGUCAUUUACAUUCACAAUAUAAAAUAUUUCACCAUUCAGCAAAAACAUAGGUCAUUUUUCUACAGAAACAAGGAACUUGGUGUCGUGGUUUUCCGUCACAAUAACGGACCAUUGGGGAUGGCACUCUGAGAUUCUUCUGAAUGAAGAGUGCAUUACAAAUUAAAUGAAUUAUUACUAUUAUUACUCUCCAGUCAUUCACCACUGCAGCUGCCAAAAGACGCUGGCGUAAAAGAUCCCUUCUCCCGAAAAUGUAACAUAAUCGUUUUCGAGGAUCUCUAUGGGUAGGAUACUGAGUAACGGGCCGUGCCUGUUACGUCAGUAUGUGGUAUGUUCACACAAGUCCUUGAGAGACUGUACAGAUGAUCAAAUAUGAAUCAUAUUACACAUUCUUUAUCCACACAUUCUUAUCCAGCAGGAGCCUCCUCCUUUCAGUUACAAUGUUGUGGCUCUUCGAUGUCUUACUCUACUUCCUAAGUCAAUAUUUUUAACCUGUUUGUAAUGCUGUAGUUUGUUUGAAAAACUAUUUCCAUAUUGUUAAAUUGAUUCCAUUUGAACUUUUUGAAUGAGAAAUACACCACUCUACAUGCAAUUCAGCGAAAUUCCCAUCACAUUCCUUUAGCUAUCCAUCCAGUGUGUGUGCUCCAAAAAAACAAAAAAAAAACAUACAUAUCAGCAACCUUUCAUCAGGAUUUGGGGACUGUAUCUUUGACGUUUAUUCAUUGAGUAUGAAGAGACAACUGUGCAAAGUGCACCACCGCCACCUAUUGGUCAUUUAUUGAACCCGUUAAUUAAAAAAAUAAUAAUGUGAAGUACUUCUCAGUGGCAGGGAGAAAAACUGUAAAUUUAAAAACAUUCAUAUUAUCUGAUUCCUAUCCUUAUUGAAUACUCAACGUUGCUCUACUUAAUAGCAACAGCUAGAUAAUAGCUAGUGUCUGUUGCCUUGCUCAUCUUCCCAAAUGUUUUCCCCAUAUUUCUGCCACUUUAUGUGGCCUUUUUUCGUCACAAUAAAGGACCUGUUAUUGGGGAUGCAGAAAUUCUCCGCGAUGGACUUCAGGCAUUCAUUACUGGAGUCGUUGCUCUCCAAAAAGACGGUGACGUAAAGUGGCCCUCUUUCUAUAAUUUUGCCGAACUCUUUUGCCGGAAUAAGUAUGAAGCGGACACGGGAGUCGGCUUUGAAAAUCAUCUUUGUUGAUUGGCUCGCUUCUCUAAUCCCAGUGGCUUCCCCUCUGACAUUAACUUCCAUCACCAGCUCCUCCAGCCGCAUUUGAUCCACGCUGUAGUAAACCCGGAUGGGCAUCCCCGAGGCGUUGGCCACAUGGGUGAUUGUGCUCCCCAUUAUUGAUUUCGGAGACAAUGAUCUGUGGAGUAAGUGUGAAAGAGGCAGUGAUGCCUAUAAUGAAUUGCAAUUAUCAAGCACCUUUUGAGGAUCUAUGGCACUUUACAGCGAGGUGGGUGGUGAUGCAGGUUUAUCUUGACCACAUGACGCAUCUAUUAAUGUUGCUCAAUGUAAUAUAAGACCUUGUAGGCAUGUGGGCAGGUAUUUGGACUUUGGACAAAACAGUGCUCUGGUUAUUUUUCUCUUUCCAUGGGAUUGUGAACAACAGCAGUUUGUUUCUGCGGCCAUAACUAACCUAAGGAAGGUUAGAUGAGCCGAUUUAUCAUAUUCAUGUUAAGAAAAACAGGCAUAUUGACAAUCCAACUUAAAAGUUUGUGGAAUUAGUUCACUGAAGCCAAAGGUUACUUUGUGAACUUUACCCAGAAGGGUUUAAGAUGAAUCUGCCUUAGUUGGACUCCCCACCCACUUUGUUUCAAAAGUGGUUUAUCUGAAAAUCAGAAAAAUCAGAAAGCCAAAACUAAGGUCUCUAUAUGUUUGUCUAUGGGUAUGUCAACUGCGUCUUUUUGUUUCUGUGACCAUAACUAAUUAUAACUAUAUGGACGGUUUAAAUGAGACAAGGAUAUUAUGUUUUCGUUGCAGUUUGUUUGUCUGUUUGCAGGAUUAUAUGCAAAAACUACCGGCCCGAUUUUCAUGAAACUUCGUGGAAAGGUGUCAAUAGGCUAGGCCUACUUGUAACAGACUGAGAGAUGAAAAAAUAUACUUACCAAGGACAAAAGGCAGAUUUACCAAGUCUCAAAAGACGAAAAGUAGACUGUCUUCCUGUAGCUACUUAAAAAAAAAAGUAGCUCACUAACGGAAUAGGGUCUACCCAUCCAACAAGAAGACUAGAGCCGAGUCCGGAAUCUGUGCUGGCAAUUCGGUUUUGCUUUUUCCGCUUUUGGCACGAAGCUUCAACGGAGACUCUCCCUAUUUACUUUGCUUUGCCGAACUGAAUUGUGGAGUCGGCAACGGUCAACUGCAAUCUGGCCGAGUGCGGCUGGCAACUUGACAGCCUAGGGCGUUGGCAACAUGCAGUAGCGCCGAUGCUGUGCGCGUUUACUCGUACCGGAUCCACAUUAACCCGUAUGUGCCGGUGUGGCACCUGUGGUCAUUUCUUGAACCCGUUGAUUACAAAAAAUACAAUGUGAAGUGCUUCUCAGUGGCAGGGAGAACAAACUGUAAAUUACUACUCUUAAUCACAUUAGCCCAGUAAAAACAUUCACAUUAUUUGAUUCCCUAUCCCUAUUGAAUACUAAGCUUUGCUCAACUCACUGGCAACAGUAUUUGUGUAGA
ensembl:lncRNA